rnacentral:lncRNA from 1 species
AUUUAUAGAUUGUGGAAUUUGGGGGGAGGAAGGCACAUCAGCCUGUUUUUGAGCCACGGCUUGGAAGAUGCAGUUUACUGCGUUUGUGCUGAGGCUCUGUCUUUGCUCCUCCUCAACAAAGGAUUUGAGAAAUCUGGCCCAACAAAGGAGACCUUCAGCUGAUCCCCUUCCGCUCUCCCGCACCUCAGCCCCUCCCCAAGCCGCGCACCGGAUGACGGCGACAGCCUUUUCCAGAGAGUCCCAGCGCAGAGACAGACUUUUAAAAACAAGAUUCUGCCCCAGCAGAAAACAAGAAGGCCUUUCCCCAAAACCUUCCUCAGGCUCUUAGUUCUUCACACGCAUGAGAACUUGCAGGAGGAAAGGUUGACCGCAACCCCUAGGGCAGCAUUUUGAGAAAAUAGUAGGAACUGUACAAGGAGUCCAAAUACACAUUUUUAAGAGGCUCUGGUAUGUGGUUUCCAGGAAGCUGGUCUUUGACCUCGAACAUGUGGGCACGUUUCCCAGGACGCAUGUGCAGCUUCUAGGACGGAGAUGCCACCAGCCUUGGGAACGAAGGGUGGUCCACCCGGGGCUCCUUAAAAAUUACGUUAAGGCCCCAGCUGUAAUGGGCAGAAGUCAGAGGUCUGAGGGCAGACCGCAGUUCCACCCGCUUCCCAUCAAGCAGGGGGACGUGGCGCUGCCUAGAAACAGGGAACAGCAGCUCAGAAUUAAAUCAACCCAGCAUCCUGCAGCUCAAACGACACAAGUCCUACAAAUAGACCCGCUGCACACGAGGAUGGCUCCUGAAAACGUUGGGGGCGUAAGCCUUCUGAGGCAAGGUAGGGGGAACUUUCUAGGCCAAAGGAAGGUGAGACGCCUCCUGUUCUCAGGAGCUGAUGAGGGCUUGCCAGCUGGUUAGAAUUCAGUGCUAAUUGCAUCUUCAGACACCACCUCUGCAACCCUUUCCCCCACUCAAGAUCUUGCAUCGAGGGCUCGCAUUUUCUGCAAAAACCUCUGCAUUUCACCUCUCUCACUCGGCACGUUCUGAGCGUCAGAAGGGUUCGGCUCAGAGCCUGUCUUUCCCCCGCAGGUUUUGCUCUGGGCUGCGGGUGCUCACAGCCGGGAAAGCGGGCCUGCCCUGCUCCUGGAGGAAGAUGGACAGCUAACAUCGGGGCUUCGGUGACUGGGUGCAGCCUCGCCCCUUCCACCCGAGACUCAUUAAACAACUUUCCAGUGCCAUUCAGAGAACUUAUAACAGAAUCAAUGGAUUCUCAUCCUCCGCUUUAUUAGCUGUGAUUUAGGAGAGAGCCUGGCCCUGUUGACACAGCUGUAACGUGUCAGGACCUGUAGUACAUUAUUGGCCUGAGGCCCCCACUUUCAGUCCAGUCUCGGCUGAAUCAAUCUGCUCUCGCACAGGUUCCCUCAAGGAAGCGCGGCCGCAUCUUACGGGCAGAAAGCCCUUCACAUCCAGGGGAGAAGAGUCUCGCUGGAGGGGCCAGUCCGCCUUCCUAGAGCAGCCCUGACGCUCACAGCUCUCGGCAGGUCCCCAGAGGGGCACAGGGCCCCACAUGCCUCUUAGCUGGAACCCACCGCUUUGCUGCUGGGGGAGCCCCGCCUCUGCCAGCGGGCAUCGCUGGCUGUUUAACAUGUGUUCAGAGCACUGCCAGGCUAACAUGGCUGCUCCUAAUACUUUAAUUGCAGUUUCAUGGAAACAAAUUGCUAUUUAACUGCAAUAAGCAUUUCUGUGACUUGGCUGGACUGACAAUAGGUGAGUCUUAGUAACAAAGUGACAAGGAACAUCGACCUGUAAAUAGUCUGUGUUUCCAACUGGGUCACAGGUGGAAGCGCCCGGGAGAGAAACUCCUGGGUGAAGGGGGCUGUGGACUCGCUUUUCUCCAUCUGUAACAGUGGUUCAGGCU